rnacentral:rRNA from 1 species
AUUGAACGCUGGCGGCAUGCCUUACACAUGCAAGUCGAACGGCAGCACGGGAGCAAUCCUGGUGGCGAGUGGCGAACGGGUGAGUAAAGUAUCGGAACGUGCCCAGUCGUGGGGGAUAACGUAGCGAAAGUUACGCUAAUACCGCAUACGAUCUAUGGAUGAAAGCGGGGGAUCGCAAGACCUCGCGCGAUUGGAGCGGCCGAUAUCAGAUUAGGUAGUCGGUGGGGUAAAGGCUCACCAAGCCGACGAUCUGUAGCUGGUCUGAGAGGACGAACAGCCAGACAGGAACUGAGACGCGGCCCAGAGUCCGAAGAGGAGCAGCAGUGGGGAAUUUUGGACAAUGGGCGCAAGCCUGAUCCAGCCAUGCCGCGUGCAGGAUGAAGGCCUUCGGGUUGUAAACUGCUUUUGUACGGAACGAAAAGGUUUGGCCUAAUAAGCUGAGCUCAUGACGGUACCGUAAGAAUAAGCACCGGCUAACUACGUGCCAGCCGCCGCGGUAAGAC